UACGUAGGAGGCGAGCGUUGUCCGGAGUUACUGGGCGUAAAGGGUGCGCAGGCGGCGGUUCGCGUGGCGAGAUGAAAUCUCCUGGCUUACCUGGGAGGGUGGUCGCCAGACGGGAUCGCUUGAGGGUCGGAGAGGGGCGUGGAAUUCCGGGUGGAGCGGUGAAAUGCGUAGAGAUCCGGAGGAACACCGACGGCGUAGGCAGCGCCCUGGACGACACCUGACGCUGAGGCACGAAAGCUGGGGGAGCGAACAGGAUUAGGAUACCCUGGAUACCGACCAAGUUC
rnacentral:rRNA from 1 species